UAUGGAAAGAGAAAAAUGACUUCCCAUUGGCCAAACACAGUGAAAAUCUGGCUGACAUGGGAACCUUGGAAACACAGCCUGCAUGGCACAGGAAUUCAAGUGUCUGUAUUGGUGAAGGCAAAAGUCCUGCUUGAUUGAGGCCUCCAUAGCCUGUGACUCCAUCUGAGCAGUGUCCCUUCAGAAGCUGCUUAAACAUUUCCCUGAGCUUACAGAAUUGCACUGCACUCUGGAUUACAUUGUGAUUCCCUAUACUUCAAACUUGGUUUCUCUUUCACCCUGGAUACUUGCAGAGCCGGGCACCACUCAUGUGAUAAUGCCAGGCUGGAUUCUCUAGAAGCAGAUGCUGGGAGGCUAUUUCGGGUGCAAGGUGUUUGUUAGGAAUCAACAGCUGUGAUGGGAAGUGGGAUCGCACAAAGGAAGACAUCAACAGUGCUGUAGAGAGCCCUCCAGACGGUAGCAUUUGUCAGAGUAUUCUCCAUUGGGCUGAAAUGCCUGGGCAUUCCUGUUCUUCUCACUCAAUCACCACGUGAGGGGGCUGCCCUGGCAAGGGUAGCGUACUCAGCAGGGAGGCUCUCCCCAAAGGAGUCGGCAGCUGCAGACUGCUGCCCACACUUCCUGCAGUUUCAGCUCUUAACAAGGAACAAAGUUUGAUGGAGAACAAAAUGCAAAGAUCACGAGGACCCAGAGCCCAGAAAGGAAUAUAGAGAGGGAAUCCCUGGGAAGAGAAGAGGGCACAGCACUGAGAGGUAAGGGUUGAAAGGAAUGAGCUUCGCUGUAUCUUUUGAAAAGUGACUGGAGCACUUGAAGAUGGUCAAGGAGCGCCUUAGACCAGGACUCAAAUGUUUAAAUGGCAGUUAAAUGAACAUGGAAUUAGACCUACUAUGUAUAUUCACACUGAUAUCAGUCCCUACAUAAUCAAUUGGUUUUUAUGUCAUCUUUUCUAGAAGUAAAAAUUUUUAACUAACAAGAGAUCCUUGAUGCUCACCUCCUCCAGAUAAACACUGGGGAUCUUUAUUGAUUUUGAGAGUCUCACUCAGCUGAACACAUAUUGUAAACCCUUUUAUAGAUCCUAAGUGUUUACUGGAUAAGGACUAGGACCUUUUCAAGUAUGUUAUCAACAGUCUUAUGAGAAGUCUUUCUGAAGUUUGCUAACUUGUAGCCAUGGGUCUCUCCUAUGCUGAACAAUGAAAUGUCUUAUCUUCCCUACAUAUGUGUCUCGAGGCUCUGUCACUCCUGUGGAAAACAAGGCAACUAUUGGAGGGAUAUUGGAUUAAACUCAGGUA